CUCGAACGGUGGAUCACUCGGCUCGCGGAU
rnacentral:rRNA from 1 species